GUUUGUUGGUGUCUCUUAAUACGAUUCUUGAUUUUCUUGUAGAUUUCUUUGGUGCAUUGAGGGCGAGAGUGUACGAUGAUGAGGUGAGGAAGUUCGUUGAGGGACUUGGAGUGGAGAAGAUCAGCAAGAGGCUGGUGAACUCGAGGGAAGGUCCUCCAGUGUUCGAGCAGCCGGAGAUGACUCUUGAGAAGCUUAUGGAGUAUGGUAACAUGCUUGUGAUGGAGCAAGAGAACGUCAAGAGAGUCCAGCUUGCCAACCAAUACCUUAACGAGGCUGCGUUGGGAGACGCAAACGCUGACGCUAUUGGCCGUGGAACUUUCUUCGGUCAAACCACUGGUCAAGCCUAAGGUAAAAGUGCAAAGUAAGUGAAUUUGCCGGUUCCUGAAGGAUGUUACUGAUCCUGCGGCCAAAAACUUUGAUCCAACGGCUAGAAGUGACUGAUGGAACUUGUGUCUUCAACUUUUGAGCUUUCCCUACUUAUAAUUAAAACUUGUGUUUUUUUUUCUUCUGCUUUUGUGUAAUUGUGAAUUGGUGAUUAUGUGCAAACUUCCAUAUAUUACAGUUGCCCCUUUUAUCAUAAA